CAAUGUGUCAUAUUUUGGAAAAGACCAGUAAGAUAGGUCUUUGGACAGAUCCUAGGACAGCUUCGAUAAACAGGCCCCAGAACUAUUCGAAAGUAAUGAUGGCUUCCAGUAAAGUAUUGCUCCUUGUGACAGCAUUGGCAUUGAUAAUGCUGGUGUCAAGCUCUCCAUUUCAUACCGCAAUAGCUGCUGAGACCAGGAAAAUAAGCAAAAGGUCUUUAGGGUCCAUAACUCCGGACGGAUGUUGCUGUCCUAAUUGUUACAGAGGUUGUACCUGCUGCUGUGCCAAAUGAACUAAUAUCGAAUUAUUCUAAUCAAGUUAUAAAUAAAUAUUUAUAUAUUAA